rnacentral:sRNA from 1 species
GUAGCCAUGGCGGCUAACGCUACUACCAACCCGUCGCAGCUGCUGCCGUUAGAGCUUGUGGACAAAUGUAUAGGAUCAAGAAUUCACAUCGUGAUGAAGAGUGAUAAGGAAAUUGUUGGUACUCUUCUAGGAUUUGAUGACUUUGUCAAUAUGGUACUGGAAGAUGUCACUGAGUUGUGAGUAGUGUUAAAGAAUUGGGGGGAAUCUGUUCUUAAUUAAAGACAGUUUUACUACUUUUGAGUAAAAUUAUUUAUGAGAAAACAUUACCUCUUGGUGGAAUAACGUUAAAGAUAGACGUUUUAUCUGUUUGCUUGUAAAAUUGGAUCAGAGUGUUAUUACCUUAAUGUAAUUAUUAGUAAACACCUAGAAAAUUAGUGGAGACACAGUUUUAAGGUAGAAGAUAACAAAAAGAGCCAGGAAUUUUAGGGUUCAGGUCAAAUAAAGGAACUGAUAGUAAGAGCAUUUAGGCUGGACAUGGUGGCUCAUUCCUGUAAUCCUAGCACUUUGGAAGGCCAAAGGAGGAGGAUUAAGCCUGGGAGUUUGAGACCAGCCUGGGCAACAAAGGGAGACCCCUGUCUCUAUAAAAAAUUUAAAAAUUAGCUGUGUAUGGUGGGGGGCAGCUGUAGUCCUAGCUGCUCUGGAGGGUGAGGAUCCCUUGAGCCCAGGAGUUCUAGGCUGCAGUGAACUAUGAUUGUACCACUGUACUCAGCCUGGGCAAUAGAGCAAGACCCUGUCUCUUAAAAAAAAAAAAACCCAAAAAACAUUUCAUUUCAUAUUUGAUCUCCUGGGCAAGCUUUCACUUCUUUUUAUGAAGCUCUGUCUGAUAGACGUGGGUCUUAGGUCAGUGAGUUCAUUCUGUUGCUUUUAAUGAAGGUUACAUUACCUAGUGGAUAACCUUUGUAUCUGAAAAUUGUGGAUAUAAUUGCUCAACCUCAGUGUAAUUUGUAUACAAGGAUAACCUUUUUAGGGAGGGUAAGUAUUUCCAAAAUGUUGGCUUUGAUUUUCACUGUUUGUCCUGACUGUAUUUUGUCUAUUCAUUUAGUGAAAUCACACCAGAAGGAAGAAGGAUUACUAAAUUAGAUCAGAUUUUGCUAAAUGGAAAUAAUAUAACAAUGGUAAGACACAUUGAAACUGUUUUAUUUUGAUGGGAGCCCAUUUUUGGGGAGCAGUGAUUACAGAACUAACCUUAAUGUUGCUUGCUUGACUAAAUGAUCAUGGCCCAGUGGUGCAUAAGAUGGGAAAGGGGUUCUCUGUGGUCAGGGUCCUAAAGCUCAGCUAUUGAAGAGGCAUUGGGUCUAAAGGUUAGUUUGCUUGGAACUUUUAAUCGCUGUUGAGAUAGUAAGUAUUAAUUGAUGACAUUGGGAAUUGUAAAUAGAUACUGACAAUCUGGAGAAAAUGGGAAUGUGGAGUGCAGGGGACAGGCAAAGGUGGCUUAAUGAAGAGCAAGGGGUUUUUAGAUGACAUGGUGGUAGUGUUAUUAAUAAACUCUUUUUCCUCUUUAUGCAGCUGGUUCCUGGAGGAGAAGGACCUGAAGUGUGAAUGAGUUUCCUUGACUUACACUAGAUUUUGUUUUGGCUUAUAAUGACAAGAAAAUGGAAUUUUUUUUCCCACCUUUCUAAUGUUUAAAUCCCAUAAAGCUAAGUUUCCCGUUAAAGGGAAGUGCUUUGAAGAUGUGUACCCAUUUUUGUAAGUUAAUCAUGAUUAUCCUGGAAAAAGAAGAAAAGAGCUUCUUCUUU